GGGUGACAGAGGGUGGAGGGGUUGUAGGCUACGGGUUUGUGGCUGUCACAAUAAUGCUGUGAUAAUGCUGUGGUUUCCCAGAGGGGAGUAGGGGGCAGGGAGAGGGCUGCAGCCUGAUGACAGCCAGAUGAAGAAAGAGCUGCCUCUUCCUUCCCUAGCCCCAAGGCCUGCCCCACCGCCCAAACCCAAGACCACUUCAAACAAGUGGAGACAGAAGUGCUUAGACAGAAACACUGGCAAAAUGGUUAGAGAUAAGAGGAAGUUGAUUAGGAACAAGUGCAGAGUGGAACCAGGGAAGAAAAGAACGUGGAAUGACUCACUGUGCCCCAGAACAGUGUGAUCUGUUUUAGAAGACACAGCCAGCCACGAACAAAAUGUGAGUUGUAAAGCAGAAUACGCUCAAGCAUGCGCUCAGAAGAAUUACUGCUGCCUUCCAACUCACUUCCACAUUGAUAAAUCAAUCAAUCCAUCUCUCUCUCUAACCCUGACCUCUGUGCAGAGUUCCAGUUCUACUUACA
rnacentral:lncRNA from 1 species